GACGAACGCUGGCGGCGUGCUUAACACAUGCAAGUCGAGCGGUAAGGCCCCUUCGGGGGUACACGAGCGGCGAACGGGUGAGUAACACGUGAGCAAUCUGCCCUUCACUUUGGGAUAACCACCGGAAACGGUGGCUAAUACCGAAUACGACCACUUCGGGCAUCCGAUGGUGGUGGAAAGUUCCGGCGGUGAAGGAUGAGCUCGCGGCCUAUCAGCUUGUUGGUGGGGUAACGGCCCACCAAGGCAACGACGGGUAGCCGGCCUGAGAGGGUGACCGGCCACACUGGGACUGAGACACGGCCCAGACUCCUACGGGAGGCAGCAGUGGGGAAUAUUGGACAAUGGGCGAAAGCCUGAUCCAGCAACGCCGCGUGAGGGAUGACGGCCUUCGGGUUGUAAACCUCUUUCAGCAGGGACGAAGCGCAAGUGACGGUACCUGCAGAAGAAGCACCGGCCAACUACGUGCCAGCCGCCGCCGUAAAAC
rnacentral:rRNA from 1 species